rnacentral:lncRNA from 1 species
CUACUUUGUUCACUUGAUACAUCAGCAAUACAUGGUUGAGGACAUUUUGUUUCUCAAAAGUACUCCUAUUUUACAAACUAAGAUAAUGAUACACAAUUUGCCUGAGAUAAUUUUCAAAGUUGGAAAAGUCAUAGAUCCAGUAACAGAAAAACCUGGGCAGGAACUAUUACACUUACCCACAAAAUUUAAUCUCUUGAGAAACUCUCAGUAAAAAAAAAUC